rnacentral:rRNA from 1 species
AUUGAACGCUGGCGGCAGGCUUAACACAUGCAAGUCGAGCGGAGAUGAGGUGCUUGCACCUUAUCUUAGCGGCGGACGGGUGAGUAAUGCUUAGGAAUCUGCCUAUUAGUGGGGGACAACAUUCCGAAAGGAAUGCUAAUACCGCAUACGUCCUACGGGAGAAAGCAGGGGAUCUUCGGACCUUGCGCUAAUAGAUGAGCCUAAGUCGGAUUAGCUAGUUGGUGGGGUAAAGGCCUACCAAGGCGACGAUCUGUAGCGGGUCUGAGAGGAUGAUCAGCCACACUGGGACUGAGACACGGCCCAGACUCCUACGGGAGGCAGUAGUGGGGAAUAUUGGACAGUGGGGGAAACCCUGAUCCAGCCAUGCCGCGUGUGUGAAGAAGGCCUUAUGGUUGUAAAGCACUUUAAGCGAGGAGGAGGCUACUGAGACUAAUACUCUUGGAUAGUGGACGUUACUCGCAGAAUAAGCACCGGCUAACUCUGUGCCUGCAGCCGCCGCAGUA